CGCAUCUGUGCAUGCAGCAUAUCAAUAAGCGGAGGAAAAGAAACUAACAAGGAUUCCCUUAGUAACGGCGAGUGAAGCGGGAAGAGCUCAAAUUUGAAAUCUUCAAGGUUUUACCUUGACGAAUUGUAGUUUAAAGAAGUGUUUUCUGUUGAAGUUUUGGUAAAAGUUCUUUGGAAUAGGACAUCAUAGAGGGUGAGAAUCCCGUAUUUGACCAUUAUUUUCAGCUGUGUGAUACACUUUCAAAGAGUCGGAUUGUUUGGGAAUGUAGUCCAAAAUGGGUGGUAAAUUUCAUCUAAAGCUAAAUAUUGGCGAGAGACCGAUAGCGAACAAGUACCGUGAGGGAAAGAUGAAAAGAACUUUGAAAAGAGAGUUAAACAGUACGUGAAAUUGUCAAAAGGGAAGCGUUUGACACCAGUGUUGUUUUCUCGAAAAUCAAUUAAAAAGAGUUUGAUUUUGUUGUGUAUUGACCUUAACAGCUUGCAUUUCAAUUUUCUUGCUUUUUUUAAUGCACUUUUCGUUUAACAAGUCAACAUCAGUUUCUUUUGUUGUAAAAGGGUCAUUGGAAGGUGGCUUUCUUUUCGGAGAAAGUGUUUAUAGCCUUUGACUCCUGCAAUCGGAGAGACUGAGGUCUGCAGCGUAGAUCCUUCGGGGUUAGAUACAUUUGUGCUAAGUUAUAGCUUUUUAUAGACAACUUGUUGACUAUGAUUAGUCUUGUAGCUUACUCGCUUAUGCUAUUUUACCUACGCUUAGGAUGUUGACGCGCGUGUGUGCGUGAGACCCUGUGCGCGGCAUAUCAAUAAGCGGAGGAAAAGGCUGCGGAACUGAACGACCGCUACCUACGCUUAGGAUGUUGAAGAUAUGCGCGACACG
rnacentral:rRNA from 1 species